rnacentral:rRNA from 1 species
AGAGUUUGAUCCUGGCUCAGAACGAACGCUGGCGGCGUGCUUAACACAUGCAAGUCGUACGUGAAAGGGACUUCGGUCCUGAGUAAAGUGGCGCACGGGUGAGUAACACGUGGAUAAUCUGCCCAAUGGUCCGGGAUAACACUUCGAAAGGGGUGCUAAUACCGGGUAAGCCCACGAGCUCUUCGGAGCACGCGGGAAAAGGUGGGGACCUUCGGGCCUGCCGUCAUUGGAUGAGUCCGCGGCCCAUUAGCUAGUUGGUGGGGUAAAGGCCUACCAAGGCGACGAUGGGUAGCUGGUCUGAGAGGAUGAUCAGCCACACUGGAACUGAGACACGGUCCAGACUCCUACGGGAGGCAGCAGUGGGGAAUUUUGCGCAAUGGGGGAAACCCUGACGCAGCAACGCCGCGUGAGUGAUGAAGGCUUUCGGGUCGUAAAGCUCUGUCAGAGGGGAAGAAACCCCUGGAGGAUAAUACCCUUCAGGACUGACGGUACCCUCAAAGGAAGCACCGGCUAACUCCGUGCCAGCAGCCGCGGUAAUACGGAGGGUGCGAGCGUUGUUCGGAAUUAUUGGGCGUAAAGCGCGUGUAGGCGGUCUGUUAAGUCUGAUGUGAAAGCCCCGGGCUCAACCCGGGAAGUGCAUUGGAUACUGGCAGACUUGAGUACGGGAGAGGGUAGUGGA